rnacentral:rRNA from 1 species
GACCUAGCAAUAGGUUGAUGGCGACCGGCGCACGGGUGAGUAACACGUAUCCAACCUACCGGUUAUUCCGGGAUAGCCUUUCGAAAGAAAGAUUAAUACCGGAUAGUAUAACGAGAAGGCAUCUUUUUGUUAUUAAAGAAUUUCGAUAACCGAUGGGGAUGCGUUCCAUUAGUUUGUUGGCGGGGUAACGGCCCACCAAGACAUCGAUGGAUAGGGGUUCUGAGAGGAAGGUCCCCCACAUUGGAACUGAGACACGGUCCAAACUCCUACGGGAGGCAGCAGUGAGGAAUAUUGGUCAAUGGACGAGAGUCUGAACCAGCCAAGUAGCGUGAAGGAUGACUGCCCUAUGGGUUGUAAACUUCUUUUAUAUGGGAAUAAAGUGAGCCACGUGUGGCUUUUUGUAUGUACCAUACGAAUAAGGAUCGGCUAACUCCGUGCCAGCAGCCGCGGUAAUACGGAGGAUCCGAGCGUUAUCCGGAUUUAUUGGGUUUAAAGGGAGCGUAGGCGGACUAUUAAGUCAGCUGUGAAAGUUUGCGGCUCAACCGUAAAAUUGCAGUUGAUACUGGUCGUCUUGAGUGCAGUAGAGGUAGGCGGAAUUCGUGGUGUAGCGGUGAAAUGCUUAGAUAUCACGAAGAACUCCGAUUGCGAAGGCAGCUUACUGGACUGUAACUGACGCUGAUGCUCGAAAGUGUGGGUAUCAAACAGGAUUAGAUACCCUGGUAGUCCACACAGUAAACGAUGAAUACUCGCUGUUUGCGAUAUACGGCAAGCGGCCAAGCGAAAGCAUUAAGUAUUCCACCUGGGGAG